UACAGAGGUCUCAAGCGUUGUUCGGAUUCAUUGGGCGUAAAGGGUGCGUAGGCGGCGCGGUAAGUCGGGUGUGAAAUCUCGGAGCUUAACUCCGAAACUGCAUUCGAUACUGCCGUGCUUGAGGACUGGAGAGGAGACUGGAAUUUACGGUGUAGCGGUGAAAUGCGUAGAUAUCUGGAGGAAUACCGGUGGCGAAGGCGGCAUCCUGGACCGGCAUUGACGCUGAGGAGCGAAAGCGUGGGGAGCGAACAGG
rnacentral:rRNA from 1 species